CCAAUUUUCUGCCACCGAAUACAUUAGCAUGGGAUAAUGGAAUAGGACCCUGUCCUCCUAUUUUCAGUUGGUUUUGGCAGCGCGAGGACUAGGGUAAUGAUUAAUAGGGAUAGUUGGGGGCAUUAAUAUUUAAUUGUCAGAGGUGAAAUUCUUGGAUUUAUGAAAGAUUAACUUCUGCGAAAGCAUCUGCCAAGGAUGUUUUCAUUAAUCAAGAACGAAAGUUAGGGGAUCGAAGACGAUCAGAUACCGUCGUAGUCUUAACCAUAAACGAUGCCGACCAGCGAUUAGGAGACGUUGAAUACAAAACACCACCAUCGGUGCGGUCGUCCUUGGCGUCGGUCUUUCGGGGCCGGCGCGGGGACGGCUUAGCCCGGUGGCACCGGUGAAUGACUCCCU
rnacentral:rRNA from 1 species